AGUAAUACAUUUUUGCUAGUAAUUUCGUUUGGGUAAGCGAAGAUAGAUUCGAGAGAUUGGUUUCUAAUUCCCAAAACGUAGACAGACUUUGCGCUGAAGAUUUUAUUAUUCUUGCAACGUUGUUAUGAUCGACUUGUUGACAAAAGCCUACAAUUUCACCUAAAGAAGCAAUCUAGCUAAAAGCAAGCUUUUAUGUGUUCGUACAUUGUUGUUUUAUCUUAGCUAGCGCAUUGCCAUUAGCUGGUAAGCUAACAUUAGCUAGCCAAUAGCUCAGCACGGAUGCGGUGAACUACAACAAGCUUUGGCCUUGGAAGAGUUGAGCAUCGGGCUUGAAUUAUGUCAAGCAACCGUCAACCGCAAACUAGCGGUGGAGCGGGUCCUGGGCCUGGAAGUAGCAGCAGUACCGGUGGCACUACCAAUGCUAACGGUGCUACCAGCGUAACGUUAGGCGGCAACGAUAGUGCGAAUGUGAACAAUUCUCCAAAUGUUGUGCCCUCGCGGACUCUGGCAACAGCUGGCGAGGGGUUGCUUGUACCUGGAGUGGCUGUACAGUCUCCAAGAAGCUUAGCCCCACUAAGCAGAUCCAGUUCAUCCUCCUCUGGCACCAGCAGAAAACGUCCUCUCCACCAAGCACCUCUCUACAAUGGUCUCUUGAAUUCCUACGAAGAUAAAAGCAACGAUUUUGUGUGCCCAAUCUGUUUUGAAAUGAUUGAGGAGGCACAUAUGACAAAAUGUGGACACAGUUUCUGCUACAAGUGCAUUCGCCAGAGUUUGGAGGACAGCAAUAGGUGCCCAAAAUGUAACUACAUCAUUGACAAUGUGGAUCAGCUCUAUCCAAAUUUUCUUGUGAAUGAACUUAUUCUCAAACAAAAACAGAGAUCAGAUGAAAAACGCCUGAAGAUGGACCAUCCGAAUGGGUCAAGAUGGCAAGUGUUCCAAGAUGUCCUGGGCACAGACCAAGAGAACCUAGAUCUUGCUAAUGUCAACUUGAUGCUGGGACUCCUUGUACAGAAAAAGAAACAGCUGGAAGCGGAAUCACAAGCUGCUCAACGUCAGAUCUUAAUGGAAUUCCUCAAAGAAGCAAGAAGAAAUAAAAGAGAGCAACUGGAACAGUUGCAGAAGGAGCUAAACUUUUUGGAGGAGGAUAUCAAACGUGUUGAGGAAAUGAGUGGACUGUACUCGCCAGUGAGUGACAUGGAUCGUAACUUGGACAGCACUGUACCUAAUUUCGAGGCUCCCUCACCUGCACCCAGUAGUCUUAUAGAUUCUACAGAGUAUGUGAGUCAACCUCCAGGUUUUGGUGGAACUUCACAGGUAAGUCUGACCCACUGUAAUUUUCUUAGAGGCAUAAGCUGCAUCCCAAGAGUUUCCACCAUUGUUAAAUCCAUGCGACAAAGUGUGCAAGUUUACACUGGGAGAAGGGUGGUAAAAUUGGAACGCAGCCAUAAAGUACCAUUGAUUUUGGUGUUUCAGGUUCACGAUCUGCAAAUGUAUGUGUUUAGUGUCUCAUGUUUGUCAUUUUUAAGUCUUCUAUUUGACCGUCAGGGGAAGAGACAAACAUGGUACAACAGCACUCUGGCUUCUCGGAGAAAGAGGCUCACAGCACACUUUGAAGAUCUGGAGCAAUGCUACUUCUCUGACCGGAUGACCCGGAUAACAGAUGACACCAGGAACUUAAAUCAACUGGAUGAUUUCAUGGAGUGUCUCUCAAAGUUCACACGCUUCAACUCUGUGCGGCCAUUGGCGACCCUGUCUUAUGCUAGUGAUCUCUACAACGGCUCCAGUAUUGUCUCUAGUAUUGAAUUUGACCGUGACGGCGAUUACUUUGCCAUCGCCGGCGUCACCAAGAAAAUCAAGGUGUUUGAAUAUGGAACUGUGAUCCAGGAUGCUGUGGACAUUCAUUACCCUGUCAAUGAAAUGACGUGCAACUCCAAAAUCAGCUGUAUCAGCUGGAGCAGCUACCACAAGAAUCUGUUGGCUAGCAGCGACUACGAGGGAACAGUCAUCCUGUGGGAUGGUUUCACUGGCCAAAGGUCAAAGGUCUAUCAGGAGCAUGAGAAAAGGUGUUGGAGUGUCGAUUUCAACCUCAUGGAUCCCAAGCUUCUAGCCUCUGGUUCUGAUGAUGCAAAAGUGAAGUUAUGGUCUACCAACCUUGACAAUUCAGUCGCCAGCAUCGAGGCCAAAGCAAAUGUGUGCUGUGUAAAGUUCAGUCCAACGUCGCGGUAUCAUCUUGCUUUUGGUUGUGCAGCUCAACAGAUAGCCAGCUGAAGCUGUGGAAUGUAAACAAGCCCCACUGCUUGCGCUCAUUCAAGGGCCACAUCAAUGAGAAGAACUUUGUUGGCCUUGCCUCCAAUGGAGACUAUGUUGCGUGUGGAAGUGAGAACAACUCUCUGUAUCUAUACUACAAAGGCCUGUCCAAGACACUGCUGACAUUUAAGUUUGACACUGUGAAGAGUGUGCUGGAUAAAGACAAGAAGGAAGAUGACACCAAUGAGUUUGUCAGCGCUGUAUGCUGGAGAGCUAUGCCUGACGGGGACUCCAAUGUGCUGAUUGCUGCAAACAGUCAAGGAACAAUCAAGGUACUUGAACUUGUUUGAAGGUCCAUCAGAUCUUCUUAUCAAAGCCUCUGGAAACUACUGCUCCAUUUCAUGGCCAGUCUGAGUCCGGGGAUUGGAACAUAGUGGCUUGGUUGAAUGGAAAUUUCGUCAUUCAGGAUCUGAAGAACUGACCAGGUUGGAAAAAUGAACUAAACCGAAGUCCUUUGAUUUUAAUGAGCAAGAAUACUUUGGAAUAGACUUUGAGCGGAUCGUACACUAGUAUAGUGGAUGUAUAUAAUUCAGUGACAUUGAGGGCCUUUAUGCACAAAAGUGGAAUAUGAAUCUUUUGAAAUCCUCUUUUUGAAUAAAGUUAUUGACCAAUAGAACAUUUUAACAUGAUUUGAGGUUGAAUUGAAAUGUGUUAUUUUUAAUAAGAACUUGUACAAAUGUAUUUCAAUAGAGGUACAUCCAGCAAGAAGCUACAUUUUAAAGGCCAAAGCACAAGUCAAAAUGAAAAUAAAAUGCAAAAUGACUCAUCUUUGUAUGAAUGCUUUUUGAGCCCAUUGUGUCAUCUUCAAUAGUCUUUGUUUUACCCCUAUGUUUGGCCUAUGUGUUUGAUGAUUCAAGGAAUGGCAACACCUUUAAACUGGACUUGUUUUCGUUCUGCAAUGAAGUUUUCAAUGGUGUGGCUUUGCAUUAAGAAUGUUGUUAGGAGUUGACAAUGUUUGAAAACUCAACAGAAGAAUCAGUGACUGAGACAUUUCACUCAUGCUACAGUAUAUUUCUCUUAUGUCACAUUAAACUAAACAUCUAUUCGAUAAUACAAA